rnacentral:lncRNA from 1 species
CUGCUUCUCACUUAGAACUGAACAUAGUUUUCCUGUUAUUCUACAUCACCCACAGGCAGCUGUUCUUGAGCAGAAAGGGGGAUGGAGAUGAACCAUGGGACGGGACCCACUGCAAGAGAUUCAUCACCCUGGCCUCUUUCGCCUGUGAAUCCUGCUACGUCCACACAUACCAGCAUCCUAAUAUCCUGGAAUGGCUUCCAGAGAGGAUAUUAAUUAAAGCAACCAUACAAACAGACUCACAUCUCUGGGUCUUCGCCACUGUAUUUCUGGAGGUGACGAGGAUGCUAGAAAAGAGGACUGGAGAAGACCUGCUGGAUUUUUCAGCUUUACCUUUGAUUCUGGUCCUGUGCUUGGCCAUACGACCUUGAGCAAAUCAGCCUUCCUUUAAUUUCUAUAAAUUUAAAAUUAGUUCUUUGCUCAGGACAGAAAGAACCUAGAAACCGCCUCGAAGAAGGAGACACCAGCACCCCAAAGUCUGCCAACGCACACAGUCUCAGUGACAUUUACCUUUUAGUGAUGGCAUUCUUAGCAGCCCUUCAUGAUAAAAUGGAUAGGUAAGUGCAUUUUUCCUUGAGAAUUGUAUACCUUCUUUUUUAGAUGUUGUUUAUUCCGUGGCCAGUCCUUUCCUCUUCCUCUGGACCCCCGAACAGACCCUUACAUUUACAUCCUCAUCUCAGCCAGCCUUUCUCCCCGCAAGCUCUCUCCACACUCAACAAAAAUAUGGGAGUCCUGAGUCCCACUCCCU